UUAAGCGACUAAGCGUACACGGUGGAUGCCCUGGCAGUCAGAGGCGAUGAAGGACGUGCUAAUCUGCGAUAAGCGUCGGUAAGGUGAUAUGAACCGUUAUAACCGGCGAUUUCCGAAUGGGGAAACCCAGUGUGUUUCGACACACUAUCAUUAACUGAAUCCAUAGGUUAAUGAGGCGAACCGGGGGAACUGAAACAUCUAAGUACCCCGAGGAAAAGAAAUCAACCGAGAUUCCCCCAGUAGCGGCGAGCGAACGGGGAGCAGCCCAGAGCCUGAAUCAGUGUGUGUGUUAGUGGAAGCGUCUGGAAAGGCGCGCGAUACAGGGUGACAGCCCCGUACACAAAAAUGCACAUGCUGUGAGCUCGAUGAGUAGGGCGGGACACGUGGUAUCCUGUCUGAAUAUGGGGGGACCAUCCUCCAAGGCUAAAUACUCCUGACUGACCGAUAGUGAACCAGUACCGUGAGGGAAAGGCGAAAAGAACCCCGGCGAGGGGAGUGAAAAAGAACCUGAAACCGUGUACGUACAAGCAGUGGGAGCACGCUUAGGCGUGUGACUGCGUACCUUUUGUAUAAUGGGUCAGCGACUUAUAUUCUGUAGCAAGGUUAACCGAAUAGGGGAGCCGAAGGGAAACCGAGUCUUAACUGGGCGUUAAGUUGCAGGGUAUAGACCCGAAACCCGGUGAUCUAGCCAUGGGCAGGUUGAAGGUUGGGUAACACUAACUGGAGGACCGAACCGACUAAUGUUGAAAAAUUAGCGGAUGACUUGUGGCUGGGGGUGAAAGGCCAAUCAAACCGGGAGAUAGCUGGUUCUCCCCGAAAGCUAUUUAGGUAGCGCCUCGUGAAUUCAUCUCCGGGGGUAGAGCACUGUUUCGGCAAGGGGGUCAUCCCGACUUACCAACCCGAUGCAAACUGCGAAUACCGGAGAAUGUUAUCACGGGAGACACACGGCGGGUGCUAACGUCCGUCGUGAAGAGGGAAACAACCCAGACCGCCAGCUAAGGUCCCAAAGUCAUGGUUAAGUGGGAAACGAUGUGGGAAGGCCCAGACAGCCAGGAUGUUGGCUUAGAAGCAGCCAUCAUUUAAAGAAAGCGUAAUAGCUCACUGGUCGAGUCGGCCUGCGCGGAAGAUGUAACGGGGCUAAACCAUGCACCGAAGCUGCGGCAGCGACGCUGAUGCGUUGUUGGGUAGGGGAGCGUUCUGUAAGCCUGCGAAGGUGUGCUGUGAGGCAUGCUGGAGGUAUCAGAAGUGCGAAUGCUGACAUAAGUAACGAUAAAGCGGGUGAAAAGCCCGCUCGCCGGAAGACCAAGGGUUCCUGUCCAACGUUAAUCGGGGCAGGGUGAGUCGACCCCUAAGGCGAGGCCGAAAGGCGUAGUCGAUGGGAAACAGGUUAAUAUUCCUGUACUUGGUGUUACUGCGAAGGGGGGACGAAGAAGGCUAUGUUGGCCGGGCGACGGUUGUCCCGGUUUAAGCGUGUAGGCUGGUUUUCCAGGCAAAUCCGGAAAAUCAAGGCUGAGGCGUGAUGACGAGGCACUACGGUGCUGAAGCAACAAAUGCCCUGCUUCCAGGAAAAGCCUCUAAGCAUCAGGUAACAUCAAAUCGUACCCCAAACCGACACAGGUGGUCAGGUAGAGAAUACCAAGGCGCUUGAGAGAACUCGGGUGAAGGAACUAGGCAAAAUGGUGCCGUAACUUCGGGAGAAGGCACGCUGAUAUGUAGGUGAGGUCCCUCGCGGAUGGAGCUGAAAUCAGUCGAAGAUACCAGCUGGCUGCAACUGUUUAUUAAAAACACAGCACUGUGCAAACACGAAAGUGGACGUAUACGGUGUGACGCCUGCCCGGUGCCGGAAGGUUAAUUGAUGGGGUUAGCGCAAGCGAAGCUCUUGAUCGAAGCCCCGGUAAACGGCGGCCGUAACUAUAACGGUCCUAAGGUAGCGAAAUUCCUUGUCGGGUAAGUUCCGACCUGCACGAAUGGCGUAAUGAUGGCCAGGCUGUCUCCACCCGAGACUCAGUGAAAUUGAACUCGCUGUGAAGAUGCAGUGUACCCGCGGCAAGACGGAAAGACCCCGUGAACCUUUACUAUAGCUUGACACUGAACAUUGAGCCUUGAUGUGUAGGAUAGGUGGGAGGCUUGGAAGUGUGGACGCCAGUCUGCAUGGAGCCGACCUUGAAAUACCACCCUUUAAUGUUUGAUGUUCUAACGUUGACCCGUAAUCCGGGUUGCGGACAGUGUCUGGUGGGUAGUUUGACUGGGGCGGUCUCCUCCUAAAGAGUAACGGAGGAGCACGAAGGUUGGCUAAUCCUGGUCGGACAUCAGGAGGUUAGUGCAAUGGCAUAAGCCAGCUUGACUGCGAGCGUGACGGCGCGAGCAGGUGCGAAAGCAGGUCAUAGUGAUCCGGUGGUUCUGAAUGGAAGGGCCAUCGCUCAACGGAUAAAAGGUACUCCGGGGAUAACAGGCUGAUACCGCCCAAGAGUUCAUAUCGACGGCGGUGUUUGGCACCUCGAUGUCGGCUCAUCACAUCCUGGGGCUGAAGUAGGUCCCAAGGGUAUGGCUGUUCGCCAUUUAAAGUGGUACGCGAGCUGGGUUUAGAACGUCGUGAGACAGUUCGGUCCCUAUCUGCCGUGGGCGCUGGAGAACUGAGGGGGGCUGCUCCUAGUACGAGAGGACCGGAGUGGACGCAUCACUGGUGUUCGGGUUGUCAUGCCAAUGGCACUGCCCGGUAGCUAAAUGCGGAAGAGAUAAGUGCUGAAAGCAUCUAAGCACGAAACUUGCCCCGAGAUGAGUUCUCCCUGACCCUUUAAGGGUCCUGAAGGAACGUUGAAGACGACGACGUUGAUAGGCCGGGUGUGUAAGCGCAGCGAUGCGUUGAGCUAACCGGUACUAAUGAACCGUGAGGCUUAACCUU
rnacentral:rRNA from 1 species